AAUACUUGUGGUAAUAAAUUGUGGAUGGAAUAUUAGAGGAUGCUAAUAUUUGUAUAAAUAUGAGGUUACCUCAGAACAGGUCGCCUUCUACCUGCAAUUCCUUUGGAUAGCUUCAGUCUUUAUCUGGUAGGAUGUUGGUUAGAGACAAAGUGGAAAGUACAAAGUUGAUAAAAUGAAGGGAAAGAACUUCUACUAUAGCAAAUGGAAAGUGUUUUCAAAUUUUUUACAUCUUUGUAUUCCUAAAGCAACUAGGAAUUUUCUACUGAUGGAAAGUACUGUCAUUCUGCCAUAUGUGGAAACUCCCUUGAAAACUGUCAAGAAGGUGCUGAUUCCUCCCUGAAGAGCGGAUGAGGCAUUCUUUGUCGAGGGCUGCAGUUAGUAUGGAGGAUUUCAGGCAUGUAGUGCAGCCAAAAAAGCCAACACGAAUAGCUAACAGGGGGAAAGUAGGAAACACUGGUUUCCAGCUGUUUUGCGGAAUUUCCUAUUCAUGGAAUUUGGUGGUGCAGCCUCAGAAGGGCCAUUUUCACUUACAGUCCUGUCAGCCUCGUGAGACACACAUGGCUUACACAUUGUUCCACGUCGCUCCAGAAAAGCUAAUUUUUCUUUGUUCACAUGUGUUGCCCGAGACAGCCCAUAGACAGUUCAUAUCCACGAGCUAGACGGUUCCUGAGGUAGGCUGUAACCAAGAUAAAUCGAAUUGUAUAGUAACUGGCAGUCAGUACUCAGCCCGACUUGUUUAUUUAACAGCUUCUCCUUCUGUACUGUUGCAUCUUGUACUUUUGAUUUCCUUCCUUUACCCUGAAGCCCUCAUUACCUUAGUAAGAUUCUGCCCAGCUACAGGGAUGAACCAGGGGCCCGGAGCAUGGAAGAGCAGCUUGGUUUAAACCGAGAGCACGUUACAGAAAGCAAAAGCUCUUUCAAGAACUCGUCCCCUAAAUUCUUGGUUUGGAAGAUGUGGAAACUCGACUUUGAGGUAGAUGACAGAUUCGAGAAGUUACGAUGGCUCAGUACUUUUCAGGAAAAUGCUGGAGCAGCUGAAUAAUUUAGAUGGAGGUGAUGAGUUUGCUUAUGAAACGUGGGAGCAGGUAACUGGAUCUUUGUCUUUUGUGUCGUUUUUCGGUGCCUGUGGGGAAAUCCGGAGUCCUAGCCCAACUGUGCCAGAAUUUUAGGUAAGGCCUCUGAAGCCGGUGGAGUAACGGAGGUGCCAUUGCCUAGUUCACAGAUGCUCUCAUGAGCGACCGUAGAGAAGUGAAGAUCUUACCAUCUCUAGACACAAGAGGGCACUCGAAACAGACAGGGUGGGGGACAGUGCAAAAUGGGAGGGACACGAGAGCCAGGGUCAAGCUCUCUGUCGAAGGCUGAAGGCCGUGUUGAAUUUAGGCAUGGGGGGGCUGUCAGGGAUCGGUCGCUUUCUCAGCUCCCCCUUCUCCACGGGCACCCCAGUUGCCCCAGGAAAGAGAACUGACCACGUCCUAGGCUCCCUCUUCUCAUGAUUAAAUUGAAACCGAGGCUCAGAUCUAGGCUUUCAGAGUCAGGAUUCCCAAAUCUCUUACUUUGGCAAAAAUCUGCAGGUCGCUGUUGGUCUGGCAACUUUUCCCAUUAACCUCAUUUGAUGUCGCUUCCCUAGGAAUAUUUAAUGAGAAUCUCUUUUUCUGAUGCCAGCAGCAUUGAACUACUUGUGACCUGAGCUUUAAAGCAGAUCUGUUAUAUUUCUAGUUUCUUCCCUCCAACUCCUCUGCGUCUUUUAUUGAGGGUGAAUUUUGUAUGACUUGUGUUUAACUCCCUAAGCCUUGCUGUAUUCGGCACUCCUUGGAGAGGCUCAACAGGACGGAGCUGGAGUAGGCAGACACUCUGAAAUGGAAUGUAAAUUUGGAAUGUAAUGGGAACCCAAGAAGGAGGAGGUUGGAUUUCACAGAUGGAGUCUUGGUACAAUGUAGGUGAGUUUUGAAGUGAUUCAAUCUUCAUGGGUAUUAAAAUGCUUUAUUUAACCUCCACUAGAGACAUGUUUAACAGUGAGAAAUCUAUUCUUCGGGUUCUUGUGCAUUAAGCAGAGACAUGAAAGUGCUCGUGACUGUGGAUUUUUUUUAAAGGAAUUUAAAAGUUUUAAAAGAAUGGCGGUCUACUACCCAGCUAAGAUCACAAUGGUUCUACCUGAAUAGAUGUCAUAUAGUAUUCAAAUGGCCUGACAGUGGCACUCUAAUAUUGAAAUUACCAUUUCAAACACGCGAAUUAGUAAAGGCUCCCAUGCCCUGGGGUCUCCUAAGAAAGGCAAAAUCUAGGAAAAACCAAAAUUAGGUCUGAACUCGUUUUAGCACUCUUUUUGGUUUCUUUUCUGUGACCUGGGCGCAUUUGCAUUGUGCUUGGGAAUGUGUUUGAGCUGCCUUCACGCUGAGAGCGGCAGGAGCUGGUGAGUCAGUCCAGGCCCAGAGCGGUGGGGCCAGCACAGCCCACAAAGGAAGACGCACCCCUGAUCUGGAAAACCCGUUGUUUUUCUGUUGCAAGAAUUAUUUGACUCAUCUUUAAAGCUGUCACAUACACACUGACAUUUCUCAGUGGCAGGCCAAACCUCGCUACACAAAAUUUGUGCUUCGUCCUUCUGUCUUGUAAAAUAUAAAUUCAGGGCCUCGGAUGGAGGAAACAGGGAUUGCAGUCCUGAACAUUUAUCUUUCUUAUUUGAACGAGCAAACUCUUCCUUCCUUCCUGGAAUGUGACUUAACAUUUAAAAUUCCUAUUAAAUCUCUGGUACAUCCAGAAACCUCAGAAAGCUCUCUCCAGAGAAAGCAAACAUCCUCCUGCUCUUGGCCAAAGAAACAGAUGCACCCCAGCUCCAAGGCUGUGGCCUGUAGGUUCAGCUGCUCGGGGCUGCUCUGUGCAAGAGAACCGCUCAAGCUGGGUUGCCAGAAAAACGUUCACGUUGAGCUGGAAGUCAGCGUGUGCACUCGAGAGAGGCCAACCAAUCUGUAGGACAUGGGGAAGCUGUUGCAAGUAGGGCCCACACUGAGCUGCCCUGAAGUCAAAGAUAACGGGAUUUGGGGUUCUUUGGGGCUUGGGCUCCCCAGCGUCCAUUCCCCCUUCCCGAGUUAACCAUAGCCCUUCCUACAGGCCCCUGUGAUUUUGGGGAACUGGCCACACCCCAGCUCCAAGGCUGGGAUCCAACCAGUUUAUAUUAAUUAGUAAAGCUUCCUUGCUGCCCCUCCCCCAUUUUGCUGAUUGGCUGAGUGACAGGCCUACCAGCAAUCUGGGCCAACGGUUUUCCUCGCAGACUUCUAACAAGGACACGUGCUACAUGUGGAUGAAACCUGGACAGCGUCUCUUUUCUUUGGGACAGUGCAGGGGUUGGACUUGAACCCUAGGAGCUAAGUGGCUAUUUGCCACCCCCCUGAACACGAUGUCAGCCUAAGGAGGAAAGAUUGCUGAGCUAAUGAAGAGAAAUGAACUGGAGUCUGGACCAACCUGGACCCAAGGCAUACGUUGUUGCUGGACUUUUCGGUCACUGAACCAAUAAAUUGUCUUUAUUGUUUCAAUGAGGCUGAGCUGAGGUCUGUUUCUUGUGACCAAGGCUUCCGAAUUACCAUAUGGUGUCUAAGAUGAUUGGGGU